GAUGACCGCUGGCGGCGUGCUUAACACAUGCAAGUCGAACGAAGCACUUUGGACAGAUUCUUCGGAUGAAGUCCUUAGUGACUGAGUGGCGGACGGGUGAGUAACGCGUGGGUAACCUGCCUCAUACGGGGGGAUAACAGUUAGAAAUGGCUGCUAAUACCGCAUAAGCGCACGGUACUGCAUGGUACAGUGUGAAAAACUCCGGUGGUAUGAGAUGGACCCGCGUUGGAUUAGCUAGUUGGCAGGGUAACGGCCUACCAAGGCGACGAUCCAUAGCCGGCCUGAGAGGGUGGACGGCCACAUUGGGACUGAGACACGGCCCAGACUCCUACGGGAGGCAGCAGUGGGGAAUAUUGCACAAUGGGGGACACCCUGAUGCAGCGACGCCGCGUGAGCGAAGAAGUAUUUCGGUAUGUAAAGCUCUAUCAGCAGGGAAGAAAAUGACGGUACCUGACUAAGAAGCCCCGGCUAACUACGUGCCAGCAGGCGCGGUAAUACGUAGGGGGCAAGCGUUAUCCGGAUUUACUGGGUGUAAAGGGAGCGUAGACGGAAUGGCAAGUCUGAUGUGAAAGGCCGGGGCUCAACCCCGGGACUGCAUUGGAAACUGUCAAUCUAGAGUACCGGAGGGGUAAGUGGAAUUCCUAGUGUAGCGGUGAAAUGCGUAGAUAUUAGGAGGAACACCAGUGGCGAAGGCGGCUUACUGGACGGUAACUGACGUUGAGGCUCGAAAGCGUGGGGAGCAAACAAGAUUAGAUACCCUGGUAGUCCACGCCGUAAACGA
rnacentral:rRNA from 1 species